UACGUAGGGUGCGAGCGUUGUCCGGAAUUACUGGGCGUAAAGGGCGCGUAGGCGGCUUGACAAGUCACUUGUGAAAUCUCCGGGCUUAACUCGGAACGGCCAAGUGAAACUGUCAUGCUAGAGUGCAGAAGGGGCAAUCGGAAUUCUUGGUGUAGCGGUGAAAUGCGUAGAUAUCAAGAGGAACACCUGAGGUGAAGACGGGUUGCUGGGCUGACACUGACGCUGAGGCGCGAAAGCCAGGGGAGCAAACGGG
rnacentral:rRNA from 1 species